rnacentral:lncRNA from 1 species
AUUCCCUAUCCUGAAGGAAAACAAAAGGAGGAAGAGGAGGAGAAGAGUAUGGAAAUGAGGGGGGGGGAUGGAGAGGAGGGAGGAGGGUACAUACACACAUACAUAUAUUUCUUUACUUUGACAAAAAGUAAAAUUUCAAAUUUUGCAACCAGUUGUUUCAGAUGACUUAGAGUGACCCAGCUUUGUGUGUGCAAAAAAAUCAAAGGGCUAAGCAGCUCUUAUCAACCCCAGCAGAAGUUAUAAAUUACAGUUUCAAGGUUACUGCGACAAGCAAAUCUGGGAGAUGCUGGGGGUCCCCCCAACCCCCGCCUUGAAAACUCUGGCUCGUGCUCCAAUCAAAAUGAAGACGCUCCAACAGCAAGCCAAUCCCCUCCUUUCUAGAGCUCCCUUCCUCUCUCCUUACAGCCUGCGUCUUUGAAAGGGAAUUCACAGAAAGCUUUCUGUUCUCCUCUUUUGUAAGCUUGAAAGACAACACACACCAAACUCAAAAGCGCUCUCAUUGUCAAACCGGACAGGCCAGCGUGGCAUCUGCUCUCCGGUCUACUUGACAGACAGACGC